UACGGAGGAUCCAAGCGUUAUCCGGAUUUAUUGGGUUUAAAGGGUGCGUAGGCGGCCUGUUAAGUCAGGGGUGAAAGACGGUAGCUUAACUAUCGCAGUGCCUUUGAUACUGACGGGCUUGAAUGCAGCUGAGGUAGGCGGAAUGUGACAAGUAGCGGUGAAAUGCAUAGAUAUGUCACAGAACACCGAUUGCGAAGGCAGCUUACUAAAGUGUGAUUGACGCUGAUGCACGAAAGCGUGGGAUCAAACAGG
rnacentral:rRNA from 1 species